UGUGGCUAUAGCUCAGUGGUAUAGCGCUUGUCUAGCAUGCACGAGGCACUGGGUUUAAUCCUCAGCACCACAA
rnacentral:tRNA from 1 species